rnacentral:rRNA from 1 species
GAUGAACGCUGGCGGCGUGCCUAAUACAUGCAAGUCGAACGCUGGAAAUCUAGCUUGCUAGAUUGAAGGAGUGGCGAACGGGUGAGUAAUACAUAAGCAACCUACCCACGAAGACUGGGAUAAUCUCUGGAAACGGGGACUAAUACCGGAUAGGUAAUCGGAAGGCAUCUUCUGAUUAUCAAAGGUUAAAAACACUGGUGGAUGGGCUUAUGGCGCAUUAGUUAGUUGGUGAGGUAACGGCCCACCAAGACGAUGAUGCGUAGCCGGCCUGAGAGGGUGAACGGCCACAUUGGGACUGAGACACGGCCCAGACUCCUACGGGAGGCAGCAGUAGGGAAUUUUCGGCAAUGGGGGAAACCCUGACCGAGCAACGCCGCGUGAGUGAUGACGGCCUUCGGGUUGUAAAGCUCUGUUGUAAGGGAAGAACGGUAGAUAGAGAAUAUCUAAAUGACGGUACCUUACCAGAAAGCCACGGCUAACUACGUG